rnacentral:rRNA from 1 species
GAUGAACGCUGGCGGCGUGCCUAACACAUGCAAGUCGAGCGGAAAGACGAGGAGCUUGCUGGUCUCACGUGAGGGGCGGAGGGGUGAGACACACGAGGAUAACCUACUUAUCAGACUGGUAUAACUUGGGGAAACCGGAUAAAAUACCGGAUGAGCUACUGAAGCGCGGGGGUCGAUGGUGAAAGACGGCUGUGCUGGAACGAAUAGCUGCUUCCCAGCUGCUUUAGGUGGUUGGUAGGGUAACGGCCUACCACGGCGAGGAUGCGUAGCCGAGCUGAGAGGGGGAUCGGCCACCCUGGAGCUUGGCCACGGUCCAGACUCCUACGGGAGGCCGCAGUAGGGAACGUUCCGCAAUGGGCGAAAGCCUUACGGAGCGACGCCGCGUGUGUGAUGAAGGUCUUCGGUUCGUAAAGCCCUCUUAUUAGGGAAGAACCGCUUUGGAAGUAACCAUGGACGUCUUGACGGUACCUGAUCAGAAAGCCCCGGCUAACUACGUG